rnacentral:lncRNA from 1 species
CUCGACACAGGAAACAUCCCACACGGAACAAAACAUCUAAUGGACGUCCAUUGAACAUCCAUCAUAGAGAUACAUAACCUCUAAUGGACGUCCAUGUAUCAUCCAAUGGAUCUCCAUUGAACAUCCAAAUGUCCGCUUAUAGCACCUCCACUGGAUGUAUUUUAGACGACUUCCAUGGACGUUAUAAAGCUCUCGUAGAUGUAUGAUAUAAACUAUAAUUAAGGUUGGAAGCACACAGAAUUUUGUGAAGUGAUUUUAUUUAAUAUGUAAAAGGAGCUAGUACAUAGAUGUGCACAAAUAUAAUUAUAAAUAUAAAUACAAAAAAGUGCAUACAAAUUAAAGUGUAAAUGUAAAUAUAAAUAUUGGCUGGCGUCUUCGAAGAACACUCUUUUUGGAACUCACGUUGCUGCUGUUGGACAAACCUACGCAGAUACUACUGUAUCUGAACGCUGUGAUGUGGUUGGACAAUUACCUGCAAAAAUUGGAAAAUACAUCUAAAAAAUCUUGCUUUGGAGUGCCGGAACCAUUCCAUAACCCUUCGUUGAAUCUUUCCUUGAUCAGAAUCUGACACAUUGCGGAGAACGAAUCCUAGAAAAAUAAUUUCUAUGAUUGUGUAAUGCUGCUUUCCCACGUCGACCUUCCCAGUUGUACUGUUCCGCCAAUCCGUUUGAGAUUAGUUUAUAGAGGCUUCUUUUCACCGCAUCAUCCAUGUUAUUUCCUCCUAUGGAUUUCACAUAAGCGCCCUGCAAAGUUGAAAUAUAUAUUAUAUCAUACGAGUGAAGCACAAUAAAGUACAUUU